GUGGAACAUGUGGCUUAAUUUGACCCAACACGGGAAAUCUUACCAGGUCCGGACACAUUAAGGAUUGACAGAUUAAAAUUUAAAUAUAAAAUAUGAUAGUUCUUUCAUGAUUAUGUGAUAGGUGGUGCAUGGCCGUUCUUAGUUCGUGGAGUGAUUUGUCUGCUUAAUUGCGUUUCAUUAAAAAAAAUAAAAAUACUUAAAUAUGAUUUUAUAUAAAUUAUGUUUUAAUAGUAUUUAUAAAUAUUGAAUGCAACGAACGUGACCG
rnacentral:rRNA from 1 species